UACGAAGGGGGCUAGCGUUGUUCGGAAUUACUGGGCGUAAAGCGUGCGCAGGUGGCCAUCCAAGUCAGUGGUGAAAGCCCGGAGCUCAACUCCGGAAUUGCCAUUGAAACUGUUUGGCUCGAGUACGAGAGAGGUGAGUGGAAUUCCCAGUGUAGAGGUGAAAUUCGUAGAUAUUGGGAAGAACACCGAUGGCGAAGGCGGCUCGCUGGCUCGUAACUGACACUCAUGCACGACAGCGUGGGGAUCAAACAGG
rnacentral:rRNA from 1 species